GACGAACGCUGGCGGCGUGCUUAACACAUGCAAGUCGAACGGAAAGGCCCUGCUUUUGUGGGGUGCUCGAGUGGCGAACGGGUGAGUAACACGUGAGUAACCUGCCCUUGACUUUGGGAUAACUUCAGGAAACUGGGGCUAAUACCGGAUAGGAGCUCCUGCUGCAUGGUGGGGGUUGGAAAGUUUCGGCGGUUGGGGAUGGACUCGCGGCUUAUCAGCUUGUUGGUGGGGUAGUGGCUUACCAAGGCUUUGACGGGUAGCCGGCCUGAGAGGGUGACCGGCCACAUUGGGACUGAGAUACGGCCCAGACUCCUACGGGAGGCAGCAGUGGGGAAUAUUGCACAAUGGGCGGAAGCCUGAUGCAGCAACGCCGCGUGCGGGAUGACGGCCUUCGGGUUGUAAACCGCUUUCGCCUGUGACGAAGCGUGAGUGACGGUAAUGGGUAAAGAAGCACCGGCUAACUACGUGCCAGCAGCCGCGGUGAUACGUAGGGUGCGAGCGUUGUCCGGAUUUAUUGGGCGUAAAGGGCUCGUAGGUGGUUGAUCGCGUCGGAAGUGUAAUCUUGGGGCUUAACCCUGAGCGUGCUUUCGAUACGGGUUGACUUGAGGAAGGUAGGGGAGAAUGGAAUUCCUGGUGGAGCGGUGGAAUGCGCAGAUAUCAGGAGGAACACCAGUGGCGAAGGCGGUUCUCUGGGCCUUUCCUGACGCUGAGGAGCGAAAGCGUGGGGAGCGAACAGGCUUAGAUACCCUGGUAGUCCACGCUGUAAACGGUGGGUACUAGGUGUGGGGUCCAUUCCACGGGUUCCGUGCCGUAGCUAACGCUUUAAGUACCCCGCCUGGGGAGUACGGCCGCAAGGCUAAAACUCAAAGGAAUUGACGGGGCCCCGCACAAGCGGCGGAGCAUGCGGAUUAAUUCGAUGCAACGCGUAGAACCUUACCUGGGUUUGACAUGGAUCGGGAGUGCUCAGAGAUGGGUGUGCCUCUUUUGGGGUCGGUUCACAGGUGGUGCAUGGCUGACGUCAGCUCGUGUCGUGAGAUGUUGGGUUAAGUCCCGCAACGAGCGCAACCCUUGUUCACUGUUGCCAGCACGUUAUGGUGGGGACUCAGUGGAGACCGCCGGGGUCAACUCGGAGGAAGGUGGGGAUGACGUCAAGUCAUCAUGCCCCUUAUGUCCAGGGCUUCACGCAUGCUACAAUGGCUGGUACAGAGAGUGGCGAGCCUGUGAGGGUGAGCGAAUCUCGGAAAGCCGGUCUCAGUUCGGAUUGGGGUCUGCAACUCGACCUCAUGAAGUCGGAGUCGCUAGUAAUCGCAGAUCAGCAACGCUGCGGUGAAUACGUUCCCGGG
rnacentral:rRNA from 1 species